rfam:Haemonchus contortus, ISE/inbred ISE, WGS project CAVP01000000 data, contig: Hcontortus_39518
GGCCCAAAUUUGAAGUAGAGUAGAUUAGAAGGAUCAUCUGACCCUACUAAACUACUGCACUUCGAGUUUGUGCCU